rnacentral:piRNA from 4 species
GGUGUAAUGGUUAGCACUCUGGACUC